CCCGCACCUUGUCCUGUGCAGGAGGGAGGGCUUGCCGGGGGCCGGGGGUGAGUGAGCAGUGUGGAAGGAGCCGGCACCUGAGCCCGGGACGGCCCCGCACACCGGAAGUGGAGGAGAGGUGACGUUAGGGUGCUGGCGUGGCCUGGGCCGUUGCCACCGGGGUCUUAAAGCGGCAUGCCAGCGGGCUGCCUAAGCACGGAGACAGGGCUUGAGCCGCGGCGCCUCCAUUUCCCAUUUAAUAACUCCCCUUUCCCCGCCCCCAGCACGGGGUGGGGGUGGAGCCGGAGCCGGUUUUCCCGCGCUUUGUUGCCACGCCUCCUGGAGGCGGGGAUAGGGUGGGGACGCUGCGCGAAAGAUACACGUGCGCUGGCCCGCCCGCCUCCUAAACCUCCGCGGCUCGCCACCCCGACGGGGUUAUUAGGAGCAGGGCUGGGACCCUGCCCAGGGCUCACUGCACCUCCGAACCGCUGGAUCCGGGCCUCUCUGGCGCGCCCCGACAGUUUGCAGGAGUAAUAACCACUGUAUUGAGAUGUGAGCCCGAGCCUCCGGGAAAUCUCUGCUUCCAUCGGCUCAAGAUACUAGGGAAGAAAUGAACAACAUCGGGGGCAGAACCUCAGAACAAGGAGGAACAAUCAAAGGGAUCCAGUAGGACUCACAUGAGCCACGCGGAUACCAGUGCAGAAGGUGAUCUUGCCCUUGGGUUGCACAGUGUGGAGCUUGGAAAGAAUGCGGCCAGUGUCAGGGGUGAGUGUGGUCAGCACUUCACAGUCACUGGGAGGUAGGGAAAGAGUUUCUAUAAUUUCAGGUCAGGACAAGUGCCUCCAAACCUGUGUUUGACUCAUCUUUUCUUUUUUUUUUUUUCCAUCUUUUCUUUUUUUAGGAAGCUCUACACCCAACAUGGGGCUUGAACCCAUAACCCCAAGAUCAAGAGUCACAUACUCUACUGACUGAGCCAGCCGGUUGCUACUGACUCAUCUUUUCUUUAAAGACCUUGAUAGUAACUGUAAUCGCUACUUUUCUUAAUCAAACAUUUACUGUUUAGAGAGUAGAUCUUAAAAGUUCUCAUUAUAAGGAAAGAAAAAUUUGUAACUAUGUAAGAUAUGGCUGUUAACUAAACUUACCACAAUCACCAUUUCAUAACACAUACACAUAUCAAAUCAUUAUGUUGUAUACCUUAAACUGAUGCUAUAUGUCAAUUGUAUCUCAAUAAAAUUGAGGGGGAAAA